GUUUCGAGUGCGCAUCCAAUCCCGGAAUAACGGAAUAACAGCAUAGCAGCAUAACGGAAUAACGGCAUAACGAAAUCCCGCAAUCCGCGACGCAGAUUAAAGUAGGGUAGGAAGUCAAGUGGCGGUCAAAAGGAGUGCAAGUACAGCAACUACUUACAGGUGGGCAUCAGCACUAAUUUCCACGAGUAAUCCAUGUGGAAAAUUACCUUUUAACUGCCACUGGUCCGCAAAGCUAUGUACUUCAAAAACAUUUUACGUAUAUACUGUUUUGACGGUAUACAGUACACUCCUGAUUAUUUAUCAAGUUAUAAUGAUGUGCCUAGACUUAGAAUUCCAUAGCAUACUUUCUUACGCUUCUUGUGUUUCCAGAGUACUGGUUUUCCUAGUGAAUUAACAUUUUGAAUCCAAUUUUGAAUGCAAAUUGAUUUGCAAUUCAGAUACGAGAUUAAGGAGGACUAUUAUUUUGACUAUUAUUAUUAUGGAUUAUUAUUAUUAUUAUUAUUAUUAUCCAUAUUAUUAUGGAUAAAAAUCAGACUGUUUUUGGGCAGAAAAUCAGUAUACGAUUUUUGGCAAGCCUUCAUUAUUUGCAAAAUGGUUUUUCCUUAUAACACCGCUUAAAUGGUCAUAUUGCUAAAAGAAUUACUGUUUUGUGUUGCUUAUUACCAAUGCUAAACAUCCAUAUCACUUUUUGGAAGAUUUACAAAAUUUUAAUUUUUUCAAGAUUUUUCAUUUUUAGUAAGGGGUAACAUCAUCAAAAUUUGCAAAAAUUGGCAAAAUUUUAAAAUGCCUAAAUUUGAUUUUCCAUCACUUGGGGGUCAAAUUACGAGAUCAACGAGGUAUGACAUUCCAUUUUUGGACCAAGAAUUUCAAUGAUAUGGUUAAGAAUCUGACCAUUUUGGACAUAAAAUCAGUAGACGAGUAUGUAUGAUAGAAAUUGUCAUAUAUAAAGGAUAUAAUGCUGCUUAAAUAUGCUAACCAUGACCACUACUUAAUAUAAUUAUAUUAUUAUUAUUAUUAUUCUUAGCAGUCCUUCGAUUUUGCCCAUUGUGCGAGGUCUACGCAUUGUUUUUCUAGCAGGAAUGGACGAUUGUCGUAGGAGGGGGGGUAAUGAACCGCGUGUGAAAAGUGUCACUGGCCGUGUAUGUGUGUGUGCGAUGUGUGUUUGUGUGUGCGAGCGGGAGAUGCCGAUGCCUCAAUUGCGGUUCAUUUAUAUGGAGCACUGAGAGCAGCGGCCUGGAGCAAAAACAAAAACAUUCAACGGGAGCGAGCGGAAGUGCGCAGCUCUCCCCGGCGCUCCUGCUUCCGCUUCCUGUUGGGAUGUGCUGGAAUUUCAGAGCACAGGACACUGAGAGAGACAGAGAGGACAUGGACUCGGAACCCAUGUGCUUGGGGGAUGAGCGAAUCCUUUUCCCGGAAAGCGUGUCAUUGUGUUUCGCUCCAGAGGAGCCUGCGCGAAAAUGAUCCAAAGGCACAGCCAUAAAUCAGGAGCUCCGUUGCAACGCUACAUUCCAUUUGCAAAUAGUAAUCAUUAACAUUUAUUUUUUAGCUAAAAUAGAAAGCCUGGCUUUCCAUAACUACAAAUUUAGUGGGGGUCAACAUAUAACAACUGUGAGUAUUAACUGACGCUUUUCGAAUUGCGAAAGUCGAACAGUUUGGGUAUGACAUCGCCGCACUUGGCGGAUAUCUUGAUAUCCGCCAGGUGAUCGGCGCGCGUUUCGCCAAUAUUAACAAUGCCCACCGGUAGCUUGAGGUCCUUGGUCUGCAGGACAACGCGGUAGCCGGAGAAGACCAGGAGACUGGACCCGAGGACAAGCAGGCCAUCGCUAUUGUACACCAUGCCGGCAAUCUGAUCCACUCGUGGCCGAGGCACAGAAUCUCCGAAGAAGACAAUUUCCGGCUUCAAGUCGCCGCCGCACUGCGUACACUCGGGUAUCCGGAAGUUCUCGAUGUACUCCAGCGGUAUCUCUACAUCGCCAUCGGGCCGGAUCAUGUCGGGGGCAUCUUUGAAGGCCGGAUUUAGCGACGCCAGUAUGCUCUGGAACUCGUGACGAUCGAUCCGGUACUCGCAUGACAGGCACUUGACCACAUAGCCACUGCCAUGAACCUCCACAACAUUUCGGCUGCCCGCCUUCGUGUGCAGCCGGUCCACGUUCUGGGUGACCACCGCCUGGACCCGCUCCUCCCGCUCGAAUCUGGCCAGCGCGUGAUGCGUGGCAUUGGGCUGUGUGGCAGAAAACUUGGGCCAGCCCACAAAGUUCCUGGCCCAGUACCGCUUGCGCACCGCCGACGACUUGACGAACUCCAUGUGCUGGACGGGCUUGUGGUUGGAGCGGGCGUAGAGGCCCACGCCUUCGGAACGGUAAUCGGGAAUCCCUGGAAUUUAUUUCAAGUUUUUAGACAGCCAGAAAUGUUGAUUUAAAUAAAAUACUAAUGCGAAUCCAAGUAUAAGCUAGAAGUCACUUGCAUUAGCAUUAUAUAAAUAAAUGAAUAAU
ensembl:ncRNA asRNA:CR45520 antisense RNA:CR45520